rnacentral:sRNA from 1 species
AUUCUUCUAAUGUCGAUUUAAUUUCAGUGACUGGUUUCAGUUUAUGGGGGUCAAUCCUUGCGUGCGGCAUUGUUUGUACUUUUUAUACAACAAUAGGUGGUAUGAAAGCCGUUCUUUGGACAGACACAUUCCAAUUACUGGUUAUGUUCUCAGGUUUUUUAGCUGUCAUCAUCCAGGCUUCUAUUCUUCUUGGUGGAUGGUCUAACAUCAUGGAUAUUUGCGAGGAGGGCAAGAGAAUUGAGUUCUUUAAUUUUGAUCCAGACCCGACUGUACGGCAUACUGUGUGGUCUGUAUGCUUUGGUGGAAUCUUUACAUGGGUUGGAAUAUAUGGAUGUAAUCAAGCUCAGGUCCAACGUUACUUCACAUGUAGGACCAUAAAAGAUGCUAAAAUUGCCAUUUAUUUAAACAUACCUGGGCUUUGGUUGGUGUUAUCAUUAUCUGCAUGCAGUGGUCUUGCUAUGUAUGCUUACUAUGUAGACUGUGAUCCACUGUCAGCGGGAUAUGUCAGUGCACCAGACCAGUUGAUGCCAUAUUUUGUGAUUGAUAUCCUGGGUUUUUUGCCAGGCUUAGCAGGUGUGUUUGUAGCCUGUUUGUUCAGUGCUGCACUCAGCACAGUAUCAUCUGGAUUGAAUUCAUUGGCCGCUGUUACAGGUGAAGACAUCAUACUCCAAAUAUGGCCGAAUAUAGAUGGAAAAACAUACACUAAUGUGACCAAGAUACUUGCUUUAUCCUAUGGUAUAUUAAGUAUAAUAAUGGCGUUUGUCUCGUCAGUCAUGGGCAGUGUAUUACAGGCUGCACUUAGUAUAUUUGGUAUGAUUGGUGGACCAUUACUGGGACUGUUCUCACUUGCAAUAUUCUUUCCUUGGGCCAACUACAUGGGUGCUAUUGUUGGGCUAUUAACAGGUUUAAUUAUCUCAUUCUGGGUUGGGAUUGGUGCAUUCAUGUAUCCACCUGGAAGACCUAGACUACCAUUCUCUACAGCCGGAUGUUUGAACCUCACUACAGUUACCACGGAUACCAACACAACCGAUUGGGUGUCUAGUUAUUUUAACGAAUCCGUGACAACAACAACAACUCAAGACUCGUAUCCCCCUAUUGCAGAUUUAUAUUCCUUGUCCUAUAUAUACUACGGUGUACUAUCCUGGCUCAUUGUCGUCAUCGUUGGACUUGUUGUCAGCUUUAUUACUGGUGCACAAAAUCCAGCGGAAUUGGAUGCAAAUCUAAUCAGUCCUUGUGUUGAAAAGUGUUGUUGUUGUCUUCCUGCAAGCUGGAAAAAUAUACUUAAUUGCGGUUUAAAAAAAGAACAGUACCAAGAGCAAGAGAAAUCACCUCAUGAACAUGAAGAAUUAAUGCCAAAUGGAUGUAAAACGAUGGUAACUCGAAAUGGAAAUGGUAAAACAGAUGUCCAUGUGGUAAAUCUAUCGUCGGAAUAUGAAACAUGUCUGUAAGACUGCAUGAAUACAGUCACUAUAUUUGGAUCUGUAUACCAUAUUUGGAUCAGCAUGGUUUGCCAUAUUUGGUGUAAAUCAUUUGCAUAAUCUUGCCCAUCAUGAAUAAUUAUGGGCUCAGUUUUCAUCCAAAAUACACAAGCUGUGUUCCAGUGCUUGACUUACAUCGUGAAGAUAUUAACUCUAGUAACCGACAAACUGUUUCCAAUAGCAUUAUCACUCAAGGAUGUUUUUAUUGUGAUAUUUUUUCCGUUCAGUGAUAAGGAGGUUUGGAUCUAAUUUAAAUCCAUUUUCCUAUAUAUUUAAUAAUAUGGAUCAAUUCCAUAUAAACACAAAUUGAGAAAGUGACUAAACAUAAGAAUAUUAACAUAGCAUUGCAUUGGUUUCCAUGGUGAAUGUAUCAGUAUUUCUAAAUUUAGAAUUUUUGUUGGCAUAAAAAUGCUGUCGACAAUUUUUCAAAAAGUUGCAUAUAUUUUCCAAAAAGAUAUUUUUGCAUUACAUUCAAUGGGAAUUUAUUUCCCAUAAUAUACAAAUUUGUCAUUCUUACAAAAUACCAUUGUACAUUUUAUAUCCUAUUUAGAAUAAGUAGGGUUUAUUUGCAAGACAUAAAUCUUGCUUGAAUCUGAGAAUUUUAGUCUGCUGGUAUCCAAUAAAUAUUGAGAUAAAUAAAUAUUCACUUUUUUUAUCGCUUGAA